GACGAACGCUGGCGGCGUGCUUAACACAUGCAAGUCGAACGGAAAGGCCCUGCUUUUGUGGGGUGCUCGAGUGGCGAACGGGUGAGUAACACGUGAGUAACCUGCCCUUGACUUUGGGAUAACUUCAGGAAACUGGGGCUAAUACCGGAUAGGAGCUCCUGCUGCAUGGUGGGGGUUGGAAAGUUUCGGCGGUUGGGGAUGGACUCGCGGCUUAUCAGCUUGUUGGUGGGGUAGUGGCUUACCAAGGCUUUGACGGGUAGCCGGCCUGAGAGGGUGGCCGGCCACAUUGAGCCUGAGAUACGGCCCAGACUCCUACGGGAGGCAGCAGUGGGGAAUAUUGCACAAUGGGCGGAAGCCUGAUGCAGCAACGCCGCGUGCGGGAUGACGGCCUUCGGGUUGUAAACCGCUUUCGCCUGUGACGAAGCGUGAGUGACGGUAAUGGGUAAAGAAGCACCGGCUAACUACGUG
rnacentral:rRNA from 1 species